CAUUGUAAAAGACGGAAAUUUAGUUUAAGUUUAUAUGUACUAUUUGUUAAAAUUGGCCGAUGAAGAAAUUAUCGUCGAUUUUCAAGGUCUCCCAUGUUAAUAAGACGAGUUUUUAUUUUUAAGUUACUAUUAAUUUAUUUAUUUUUAUUCAUAUUUAUUUAGUACUAACACUUUUACUAAGUGUCUUUACAGGUACCCGGAGCUGCUUCACAUUGAAGCUAUUCGAACAAGGUUCGAAUAAUAUUUUGAUUCAUUAUCGUAUAUUAUUGACGAUAGGCAAAUCUAGGUUGCUUCUUAUAUUAUUUUAUUUUAUUACUUUUGUAUAUUGUAUAUUUGUUUUAUUUGUACAUUAUUUUAUUUUCCUCCUCAAUUUGAAAAAAUGAAUUCAGUCGAGACCCACAGUUGUGGAUUUCGAAGGAUGCCUAACACCUUUCCUUCGAAAUAACUUGAACCCCUUACCUAGAAUCUUGGUUUCGUAGAUCACUUAAUAGUUUCCUAGUUUAUUCUUAAAAUUAGGUGGCGACUCCUUUAAAAUUCAUUUAUUGUUAAAAUUCUUUUAAAAUUGAAUCAAUUGUUUAUAUUUUGAGUCACCGCGACGUUUUUCCCUAUUUGAAUAAUGUAGGGAUAUAAACAGAAUGGCGACUCUGCUGGGGAUGCAGAUGUUCUAACCAAUAUGAGUAUAUUUUUUCAAAUUGAGGAGUUAUUAUUUUAUUAUGUUAUUCAUCAUAUCUUGUAUAUUUUGUUGAUUAUUUGUAUAUUAUACUUGUUAUUUAUUCAUUAUUUAUUUGUAUAUUAUAUUUGUUAUUUAUUCAUUAUUUGUUUAAAUUGUAUAUAAAUUAUUGAUGCAUUUCAUGAUAUUUCUGUUGUAUGUAUAGUAUAUUAAAGGACGGUUUUGCGGAACCGCAGUCGGACUUUUUUAUACUCAACCCUUUUCCAGAAGGAUCGGCGAUUUAUUGGUACGUCAUGCGUCCAAUGGUUGUUGUGAAUUCCAGCCUAAGUUGUCCACUUGGGUUCCCGGUCUUUCAAAAGCCUCUCUUAGUCAACUAGCGUAGAGUGAAACCAAAUCUCAAUUUCUAGCGCAUUUUGAACUAGGUCGACCUAACACUCAAGGCGUGUUAGGCCCAUUAGAAGUCUAGCUUGUGUCUAUUUGGCCAAUUGAUCAAUAAAAGACAAUUAUUUGUAUCUGUUUAAAUUUGAAGGAUGUAUACGUCAUUUGACAAAACAAUGUUCCUUGGGUUAGGGAGUUUAAGAAUUUGUUCGAGUCAAAGAAUGAUCAAAUUACCAUUGCAUCUGAAGACGUUGACAUUUAGAGAUGGAUGCUUAGUAUAGGAUUGUACCCUUGUGUGGGAUCGAUUUUUGUAUCAUUUUUCUCUAUUAUGUAUACCCAUUCAAUUUAUUUACGAUGCUUGUAUAGAUUUUAAUUUUUUGGGGACAAUAGAAUGUUGUCAAAUGGCGUUAUACAUUUUUCAGAUCGAUAGGCUUACCCUUGGCACAAAACGGUCACAUAUUUAUAUAGAACGCACAAUAAUUGUUUAUAUGCUAUGUGAUAUAAUUGAGUUUGUUUUCAAUCAAAGUAGUGUUUAUGUGUUUAAUUUAUUUAUUUAUUUUUGUGAUAUUUUGCAUUAUUCAUUAUGAGUACAAAUUAACACUUUUAUCUUUUGAGUUUAUCCUUUUUUUAAGUGAGAGAUUGAUCUAUAUCAGAAUUUAGAAGUCAUUGUUCGUCCAAAGUUGCAAGGGACAAAAGGAUUCGUGAAGUUCAAGUGUUUAUAUUUCACAAGACAUUAAUCUCAAGUCAAAAAGAUAAAUCAGGGGAGUCUUUGACUAUGAGGUCGCACUCAUUUAUCUUUCAUUAUUUUUUGCAUGUUGGCCCUGCUUUCACACAUUUCUAAUAUUUUUGCAGGAAAACCAUCCCCGACGAUAAUCGGGGAAUGGUCAUAACAAUGUCUAAUUCUCGUGGAUAAUUGGGAGAAGACAGUUCCAAGAGGCAUUAAAAAAAAAUACAACAACAAGUGAUUAUUGUAAGAAAAAUGAGAGACCACAUUCAACAGAAAGCACAAAGAUCGACGGUUAAGGGGAUACAAUGAAUCACUCCGAGUUUGUCUAAAAUUUUAAAUUAAUUUAUGACAUAUCUGCACGAACUACGCGUACCUGAUUCUCAUUUUCAUGAGAUAUGUAGGCAACCGCUUUUGGGUUCGAUAUUCACUUUUCAUUUUUAUUUUUUUUAAAAAAAUAAAAUAAAAUGGUUUGUUUAUUUUUAGGAUCAUAUCUCAAUGAACUACGCGAACCUGAUUCUCAUUUUCAUGAGAUACGUAGGCAGCCCUUCUUGGGUUCGGUAUUCAUUCUUUUAAAUUCAAAAAUAAAUAAAUCAAAUAGUUUAUGCAUAUUUUCAAAGACAUAUCUGCAUGAACUACGCACACCUGAUUCUCAUUUUGAUGAGAUACGUAGGC
rnacentral:lncRNA from 1 species